CUGACUGUGUAUGCUUGCAUGCACCUAUCGAACUUCGUGCACAUAUAGACGUGAUGCAUUGACGAUAAAUAUUUAUUAAAAUUCAUAUUAUUUAUUUCUGCCUUGUAAAGGUACAGACAGCGGAGGCUCAGAAAAAGCUGUCAGAUACAGAUUGACAAAUCCGCAGCCCCCUUUCGCUUGGCAGAGCCUUUACAGCGAGACCUUUAAAACAAAGACAAUUGCACACGGUAAUAACAGGUAUACAAUAAUGAGCAAGUACAAAGGGAAACAAAACAAGAUUACACAAUAUUUAUACAAUACUCCAGAAAAGGAAAACAGAACCUACAUGGUAACGUACAUAGCACCCAAAGUACUCGACGCAUUGAAGAGGUCAAAAUUAUUGUUUACAUAACCAUAUACAUAUUCGUAUAGAGCUACCAAUGCCUGCAAAAUAUAGAACGCAGAUUUUCUUUACACACGCACGCACGCACGCACGUGCACAGCACACACACCAAAAGGAAACCGCGACGCGCUUACAGGAAGCGCCUGAAAAAAAAAAAAGAAAAGAAAGGAGAAGUGUGGGGAACCGAGGUCGGCUUGCGCUGUCGCAUCUCCCUCUCCCAGAAGGAAUGAAGAGGUUCUUGGAAAGCAGGGACGGGCGAUUCUCUCUGUCAGCAUCGGCUCCCACCAGCGAGGACGGGGCGCGAAAGCGAAGCGGGACUUUCCUGCUGUCUAUUUUUCUUCGUAAGGCUAUGUAAGGCCAACGCCGCCUCCUCGCAGGGGCACAGGCGAGUUCCCGCCAAAUUGCGCGGGGGCGCAAGCAGUGGCGUGAGUUUCCGCCAAAUGCUAGCUCUGGACGCCAGCUCGUUCCGCGUCUCUUGGUAGACUAGUUGGUGCAUUUCUGUUAUCAUGGACUGCGCAUAUAAACGCCAACUACACAAAAGUGACAUGGACAAGAACAGCGCAAGCCCUUUCCAUGCAGUGGAGCCGCCGUAUCUCGCCGUUCAAGAUAUGCGUACUCGAAACACUGGAACAACACUGCUUAAAUUGAAGCACAGUGUGCGAAUGACCUGCUACGCUCGGAACUGUUAUCACCAUUCGGGAAGAAAUCAGAUGAAAAAACAAAACUGUAAAUGCCUGCACGAUAUACGUCUGGUGCAUUGCAGGUAAGAAUGGAUUGUGUGUGGCACAUCUCCGCAUGUGGACUAGAGUAGAUCUAGGAACAUCAGACAAGAAGUCACGUAUGUGAAACCCUGCGGAUAGCCCAUAUGUGAACUUUUUUUCCAGAUACGGAGGAACGGACACCGGUCAUGCCGUGCGCACUCUUCUGCAGGGCAUAAUGAAGCUGCACUGCAGUUCAGCUGGAAAGGGUGGCCAGGGAGGAAGCAUGCCUUCGUGAAGCUCACGGCCAUCACGAAUCUCAUUCGAACAUCUGUGAGGAGCACCUUCGCAGACGCUUCACUGGCAUCAGUGGCUGGAGUCACGAAACGCUGGUUAGUCGGAGCAGCUGCAUGACAGGGAUGGAGGCCGGAACGAGAGAAGGCGCCGUGACUCCGCUUCAACGGCCCACCAUGAACUAGCGUUUGAAACUUUUGUGAACGUGUGGGUGUAUAUAUCCAAGACAAAUACAAGAAAUAAAGAGCUGUAUAAGAAUA